rnacentral:rRNA from 1 species
UACGUAGGGAGCGAGCGUUGUCCGGAAUUAUUGGGCGUAAAGAGCUCGUAGGCGGUUCGGCAAGUCACGUGUGAAAUCUCCACGCUCAACGUGGAGGCGCCACGUGAGACUGCUGUGACUCGAGUCCGGUAGGGGAGCGUGGAAUUCCCGGUGUAGCGGUGAAAUGCGCAGAGAUCGGGAGGAACACCCGUAGCGAAGGCGGCGCUCUGGGCCGGUACUGACGCUGAGGAGCGAAAGCGUGGGGAGCAAACAGG